rnacentral:lncRNA from 1 species
UUUGCCACCGCCGAGGACCAUGUGAAGGGGCCGCUCCCUUCCGAAGAGGCGGUAGACCUUCUUGCCCUUGAUCGACGAUGGUUUUUCCUCCUCGGAAUCCGACGACGACGAUAAGUCGCGGGAAUCAAUUUCUUCCAUGAAAAUCUCUUUGUUUUUCACUCCUGUUUGUUGUUGUGACGAUCCGCCACCCCAGAUCACAAAUUUAGACACGGAUAUACAUACACCAACUUGAUUGUAUAGACGAACGAGAGAGAAGAGGGAGAGAGAGAGAGCGAGAGAGUUUGGGGGUUACGU